rnacentral:rRNA from 1 species
UACGUAGGGCGCAAGCGUUGUCCGGAAUUAUUGGGCGUAAAGAGCUCGUAGGCGGCCUGUUACGUCUGCUGUGAAAUCCCGGGGCUUAACCCCGGGCGUGCAGUGGAUACGGGCAGGCUGGAGGCAGGCAGGGGAGAACGGAAUUCCCGGUGUAGCGGUGGAAUGCGCAGAUAUCAGGAAGAACACCGAUGGCGAAGGCAGUUCUCUGGGCCGUAACUGACGCUGAGGAGCGAAAGCGUGGGGAGCGAACAGG